GUUGAAGUGGGGCUGGGUGGGACAGAGUGGGGUGGCUCGUAGCCCUUCUCCCUCCCACUCUCCCCCUUCACUGCCCAACUCAACCGUUGCUGAAACCCUGCUCCCCCAACUGAACCAAGGCUGGGCAGCACUGGGACCCUGGAGUUUAGGAAGCCCUUCAGGGAUGCCUGAGUCAGCACAGAGGUCUGGGAGGGCUUCCUGGAGGAGGGAACACCAGAGCUGAGGCCUGGAUAGAUGGUCAUCAUUUGCCAGGACAAAAUGUUGAUGGAUGAUGAUAGGAUGUCAGGGAUCAGCUUUAACGGAAUCCAGCAGGCCGGAGAAGUGCAGAAAGAUCACACAGACUGGCGUAGGGUUGGUCCUUGCUGGGGCUGGUCCCCAAGAAGUCAUUCGGUCAUUCUGCCUACUUUUGUCUCCUGGAACAGCAGGUCGGCCAGGACACGGUGGCAGAGCCGGGUCACGCGGUCCAGAGCGCUGGCCGCUGCUUCUCGUGCCGGCUCACUUUCCGGGGGCCCCACCCGGGCCAAGC